CUUGAUUGUCCUAAUUAUUUCACAAUGUAUACAUACAUCAAACAUUGUAUAGCUCAAAUAUAUACAAUUUUUCUGUUGAACCAUACUUCAAUGAAGCUGGGGAAAAAAUAAGUCAUUUCAUAUUUAAGAAAAUGGAGUUUCUAAGUGCAACUGUGCACCACUCUUAGCAGUAACAAAGUGCUGACAAGUUUGGUUGGGAGUUCAAAGCUUUUCUUUUCCCCGACCAAAUCAUCUAGAGACACAACAGCCUCCAAUUCACCCUUGACUUUCACACACCAUCAUAAACAGGGUCAUUUUGGCAAAAAGGUUCAAGGCCUUCAUCAGCUAUCCCAAGGGUCUCUCUUGAUUCUUUGUUCUUCAAAAGGUCCACUUUUGGAAACUCCCAUCAUGCCUCCUGCCUAUGGAUCAUCUCUUUGGCUGAGAACCGAGCUAACUCACUCAAGAUCCCAAUUAGUGACUCCUCAUGAGAUGGAAGUAAUUCUCCGGCAUCGUCCUCAUUUGAUUUCAGAAAAUCCAGCAGUUCUGGACUUCACAGUUGCACCACACGGUAUUGGGCUGUGGUCUGCUUCCUGGCAACCAAAGGGCAGGACAUAGCCAACCAUACAACUGCAGAGAUCCACAGAGCUACCGUUUGAGGAAUAAGGAACCCUGUACAUAGCCAGGGGCAUUCUAAAAUCCCCAAACUUGAAUCCUACUUCCGACUUUGCUAGGACACCGCAGGAAUUACCAUCAAAGAAGGAAAAAGAUGCACAGAAGUUUCCCAUUCGACAGCUACGAUUCUACAACCCCAUAGUCUUUCUAAACCACAGGCUGCAUUUUCCAUUUUGUUUUGCUGUGUUUUCCUUCAUGCGCCUAACUCCGGAGGCAGAGUUCUGCCCCUACAAAGCCACAUUCAUGUCAUCAUUCCAAAACUCACAACUCCUGAAAACUUUGAGGAAUGUUAUUAGGCCCUGUAGGCCAGAAGGGCCGUUUCCAGGGUAACAGCAACUCCACACUAAGGAAGAAAGGCAUUUCCCUUCCUAUGCUCCUCUCAGAGUUCAGGCCACUACAGAGAAACCCAUGCCCUGAGCCUGAGGGACACUUCCUGUGGCCCUUAUGCAACCAGCCCAGCACCCACCCCAAGGACACACAGCCAGCCCCUGCGCACUGGAAGGCCACACUUCCUGCCCCCGAUAUCUCAUGUUGAUCUCCUGCCAUAAAUCUACCCAUGCCUGUCCGUCAGCACGUCCCAAUCUGUGGUCUGGAAAAGUCAGCAUAGAUGUGAGAAGAACUCCUGCACAGGCAUUUGUUUUUCCAGCCGCCUGGCUUUUGUUUUGAGCAAGGUGGAAAUGAAAACUGUCUCUAAGGGAGAGAACGCUCCCUCCAGGUGCUUGAGUGACUCCAGGCCCAGAGAGCUUAACCGUGCCCCUUUCACCUUGGCCUGGGUCCUUCUUGACUGAAUAAGACACAUUUCCGCCAUCUAAUAAGGAAACUUGGAAAUGAGGAAGGAGGCCCGCAGGGGAUAUCUGGGAUGCCCUGUCCAUGUAAGUCUUUCUCCCCAGUGUUCGUCGGCUUUCCUGAUUGCCUAAUCCAGACAGGCUCUGGCAGGGACCCCUGAAGGCGAACCACAUUGAGCUGGGUGAGAGAUUCCCCCUGUGAAACUCAAGACAUAUCGAGUUCAAGAACAGGGCUCAAAAGCUUGUGGGGCUAAGGCAGGUCAUGGCCACAGGGUCUCUCUACCAGAUCCCCCUCCCCCAUCUCUGUGCGCCCCACCACUCCUGCACCCAUCCACAUACAACUAAGCCUUGCAUUUACUUGCAAGUUUCUUGAGACAUGGCUGAAAAAAAAAAAAAAAAAAGCUGUUUUUGCCAAUGACACUGAUCUUCCCUGAUUCAUAAUGGAGUCAGACCUUCGAAUUCCUCCUGGGGACAGAAGGAGAAGUGACUAACAGGAAGCCCUUGGGAUUGUGAGACUUACCCUUGAGAAUGGAAGAGCACAGUGGAGAAAAAAAUGAACACAUGUAACAAAAUCAGCGGCAAGUGCAAGGCUGGGCAGUGCUAUUGAAGCUCAGUAGCAAUUCAGGGAAGGGAACUACCAGGGCAGGCUGACUUGCGGCAGACAGGGUGUUCUUGGGGGUGGUGCAAGGUGGGGAAGUGCUGAGGCUAAAGGUAAGUCUUUUUUUUUUUUAAGAGUCAGGGUCUCAUUCUAUUAAUAUCACCCAGGCUGGACUGCAGUGGCACGAUCAUAGCUCACUGCAGCCUCAAACUCCUGGGCUCAAGAAAUCCUUCUGCCACAGCCUCCCUAGUAGCUGGGACUACAGGCACAUAGUACCAUGCCCAGCUAAUUUUUAAAAUUUCUUGUAGAGACUGGGUCUCACCAUGUUAUCUACCCAGGCUGGUCUCCUGGCCUCAAGCAAUCUUCCCGCCUUAGCCUCCCAAGUCCCUGGGAUUACAGCCAUGAGCCACCGUGCCUGGCUAAAGCUAAGUCUUACAGAUUUCCAUAGGAAAGGACCAGGCAGGGGGUGGCAGGGCUAAAGCACAGAAGUGGGAAUGGCCCUGGCAUAUGCAGGCAGAGAGAACAAUCCACAGAAAAACAGGUUUUGCUUAUAUUUCAUUUAGAGGAUUUUCUAAUACAGAUUCAAGUCAUUCAACAUUUACUGGUACCUACUAUGAGGUACCUGCUAUGGGCCAGGCACCAUUUUGGGACCUACAGGGGAUCUGGGGCUAGUCCAGCAGGACGAAGGACCAGAACAAACAAAGUGACAUGUCUGCGUUUGGGUUCCUCAGUAGCCGACCCUGAGAUAAGGGUCUAAGUACAAGUAGUAUAUCUGGAAGGAGGCAGGGAAGGGAAGGUAGCCAAUGAGCAGGUUACUGCUGUGGGCAACUGGGGCACAGUCCCACUGGGGAUCUGAGAGCUGGCACAGAACAAUUACUUGGGAAUAUUCCAUCCAUGGAGUGAGGGAGCUGGGGUAUUUAUCCACCAGCUCCCAUCAGUCAUUGGUUGAGGGCUGCUCCCAGGGAGCAUUAACCCCCUGGCACCUUCUGCUUGACAGAGAAGGCUCAAGUGGUCAGAAACAGGCUCCAGGCACAGGGAUACAGGUGCUGGCAGCUGUGUGCACAGAAAUGGUAAGCACAAGGUGACAUGGGUGAGGCAUCAAUAGUGUCUACUGCACAUGUGACUGAAAGGGGACAAAGAGGAUAUGGACCUGUGGCCUCCAUAAAGACACCAGGACAAAGUUUCCAAAACACUCAUCGGAAGAUCCUUGGGGUUCAAAAUGCUGAGAGCCGGGGCUGGGGAAGUAGUACAUCAUUUCAAAUAAAAGGAACAUUGUGAACAAAGACAGCUGAGCAAGGAUCAUGUCUGGGAGCUGAAAAGUGUGAUUUGGCUAAAGUAUAGUGACAAGGAAGGUCAGAGGUAGGGACCUGAGCCACACUGUGGAGAACUCGAAUGCCAGGCAACAGCUUUAAUCUUCAUUCCACAGGCAAUGAGGAGCCAUUGAAGGUGGUUGAGCAGGAGUGGCAUGGAGAAGUGUUGUAGGAACACUAAUCUAGCCAAAAAGCAAGAGGAUAACUUGGAGGUAGGGAGACUAGGUUAAAAAAAAAAAUUCCCCAAAUGAAUGUUAGCCACAGUGGAGAUUAUUUCGGAAGGGAGAGAAAUGAAGGGGGCUCCCUGCAGCUCUGGCCCCAAGAGAAAGGCCCCUGAAAAGAAUUGCGUGGGAGCUGCUAAAAGGGGGACCAGCUCCUCGCCUGCAUGGCCUGAUUGUUCCUUCUGGCAAAGAUGUGGGCCCACUCAUUUCUCUCCUAUUUUCUUUCCUCCAAAAAUGCUUUUGGCCUCUGGUUUCCGAAAGCUUUGCUCAGUGAGUUUAAACAGCAUCUCACAGCAUGGCCGAGCAAUAACAAAUGGCGC
rnacentral:lncRNA from 1 species